UGUCCUGUUGUUAUGAUUGAGCCUCAUGGCUCUGCUACUGGGAAGCGUGGGCGUAAGACUCCUCGAGAGUCAGAUACUCUCGAGGAGCGAGAAAGAAAGAGGCUGCGAGAUAUCUUUGCAGAACCAUCUGACGAGGAUUCUUUUGAGGGGUUUACAGAGAGAAUGGAGGAAGAGGUGGUGAGCUCGGAAGAGGAUGAGAUGGAUUGGACUCGGGUAAGGGAGGAAUUGGGUGCCACUGGCAAUGAUGGGAUGGAAGAUGAUUGGGGACCUUCAGGACUAGACCCAUGGACAAGCUGGAGGGAUGGGACGGGAUCCACAGCUGGGGAUGCUGUGGGGUGUAGUCAGAGGUGUUCCAGCUCUGAUGAGGAAAGUGAUGAGGAAACGCCCGGGUUAAGGAGGGCAGCUGAUAGUGAUGAGGACUUGUAACUGGCAUAAAAUGGGGUUUGGGAGCAAUUGCAAAUUGCGUUGGGCAAGGUAAUCUGGACGAACGCUUGGGAUCUGUGUGGGACGUUUUCCUGAAGACGGGUGUGUUUCGUGUGCUGACUACCUUUGACCUUCCGUCGUCUUCUUGACGGACGCCAUCUGCUACUCUGGAUUUACGGACUGAACUGACUACGGGCUCGGAUUCUCCUACCUGGACUUGGUGAACUACAAACGUCUGCUUCUGCCUUACGACCUUCGGAAAGAACUGGGACUACGCUACUGCUUCAAUCCUCGGCUGUUGUGUUUGUAUUGGAACCUUGCCUGCUGUGUGGAGGAGUAACUGCUAAGUUACUCAAAACAUAGUGCUGGCAGCAGAGAAGCAUCUGCUGCCAAUUAGUUACAUUCUUUUGAACUCUUUGUUCACCAGUUUCUGUUUUGUUUAUUCUCAGGCUGAAGCAAGCUGUUUUGAUUUUGUCCGGAUUAAACUCCGGUUUAAUCCGGUUUAUCUUUUGAAUGUUUUUCUUGCCCCUUUUUGCUUUUUAAGGCCAGUGUUGCCUAGCCCUUGUCUUUUACGGGCAUUUUGAGUUCUGUAAAUCCAAUAAACUCUGUUAUCUUUGA